CCCAGACCAUGGCUUAUAAUUAUUUUGAGAUCAAACCCCAAACAUUCAAUAUGCAUCCUCAAUUCACUAGAAAUGAGGAUGCAUAUGUAUUAAUGGAGUUUGAAGAUGACCAAAGGUUCAAUUCACUAGAGAAAAGCUUAGAAAUCCUAAUGAAGUCACAUACCAACUUUAUGUAUACCAUGACCAACUUUUAAAUUCAAACACCCAA
rnacentral:lncRNA from 1 species